rnacentral:rRNA from 1 species
CUACGUAGGGUGCGAGCGUUAUCCGGAAUUAUUGGGCGUAAAGAGCUCGUAGGCGGUCCGUCACGUCGGAUGUGAAAUUCCAGGGCUCAACCCUGGACCUGCAUUCGAUACGGGCGGACUAGAGUUCGGUAGGGGAGACUGGAAUUCCUGGUGUAGCGGUGAAAUGCGCAGAUAUCAGGAGGAACACCGGUGGCGAAGGCGGGGUCGUCUGGGCCGGAUACUGACGCUGAGGAGCGAAAGCGUGGGGAGCGAACAGG